rnacentral:rRNA from 1 species
GCAGUCGAGCGGUAGCACAGAGAGCUUGCUCUCGGGUGACGAGCGGCGGACGGGUGAGUAAUGUCUGGGAAACUGCCUGAUGGAGGGGGAUAACUACUGGAAACGGUAGCUAAUACCGCAUAAUGUCGCAAGACCAAAGUGGGGGACCUUCGGGCCUCAUGCCAUCAGAUGUGCCCAGAUGGGAUUAGCUAGUAGGUGGGGUAACGGCUCACCUAGGCGACGAUCCCUAGCUGGUCUGAGAGGAUGACCAGCCACACUGGAACUGAGACACGGUCCAGACUCCUACGGGAGGCAGCAGUGGGGAAUAUUGCACAAUGGGCGCAAGCCUGAUGCAGCCAUGCCGCGUGUGUGAAGAAGGCCUUCGGGUUGUAAAGCACUUUCAGCGGGGAGGAAGGCGUUAAGGUUAAUAACCUUGGCGAUUGACGUUACCCGCAGAAGAAGCACCGGCUAACUCCGUGCCAGCAGCCGCGGUAAUACGGAGGGUGCAAGCGUUAAUCGGAAUUACUGGGCGUAAAGCGCACGCAGGCGGUCUGUCAAGUCGGAUGUGAAAUCCCCGGGCUCAACCUGGGAACUGCAUUCGAAACUGGCAGGCUAGAGUCUUGUAGAGGGGGGUAGAAUUCCAGGUGUAGCGGUGAAAUGCGUAGAGAUCUGGAGGAAUACCGGUGGCGAAGGCGGCCCCCUGGACAAAGACUGACGCUCAGGUGCGAAAGCGUGGGGAGCAAACAGGAUUAGAUACCCUGGUAGUCCACGCCGUAAACGAUGUCGAUUUGGAGGUUGUGCCCUUGAGGCGUGGCUUCCGGAGCUAACGCGUUAAAUCGACCGCCUGGGGAGUACGGCCGCAAGGUUAAAACUCAAAUGAAUUGACGGGGGCCCGCACAAGCGGUGGAGCAUGUGGUUUAAUUCGAUGCAACGCGAAGAACCUUACCUGGUCUUGACAUCCACAGAACUUUCCAGAGAUGGAUUGGUGCCUUCGGGAACUGUGAGACAGGUGCUGCAUGGCUGUCGUCAGCUCGUGUUGUGAAAUGUUGGGUUAAGUCCCGCAACGAGCGCAACCCUUAUCCUUUGUUGCCAGCGGUCCGGCCGGGAACUCAAAGGAGACUGCCAGUGAUAAACUGGAGGAAGGUGGGGAUGACGUCAAGUCAUCAUGGCCCUUACGACCAGGGCUACACACGUGCUACAAUGGCAUAUACAAAGAGAAGCGACCUCGCGAGAGCAAGCGGACCUCAUAAAGUAUGUCGUAGUCCGGAUUGGAGUCUGCAACUCGACUCCAUGAAGUCGGAAUCGCUAGUAAUCGUAGAUCAGAAUGCUACGGUGAAUACGUUCCCGGGCCUUGUACACACCGCCCGUCACACCAUGGGAGUGGGUUGCAAAAGAAGUAGGUAGCUUAACCUUCGGGAGGGCG